UACGUAGGGGGCAAGCGUUGUUCGGAAUUACUGGGCGUAAAGGGCGCGUAGGCGGCACGGCAAGUCAGGAGUGAAAGCCCUGGGCUCAACCCGGGAACUGCUUUUGAAACUGCCGAGCUAGAGUGCGGAAGGGGCAACUGGAAUUCCCAGUGUAGCGGUGAAAUGCGUAGAUAUCAGGAGGAACACCAAUGGCGAAGGCAGCUCGCUGGGACGUGACUGACGCUGCGACGCGAAAGCGUGGGGAGCAAACAGG
rnacentral:rRNA from 1 species